rnacentral:rRNA from 1 species
GAUGAACGCUGGCGGCGUGCUUAACACAUGCAAGUUGAACGAAGCACCAUGAAACAAUCCUUCGGGUGCGUUUCAUGGUGACUUAGUGGCGGACGGGUGAGUAACGCGUGGGUAACCUGCCGUAUGCAGGGGGACAACAGUUGGAAACGGCUGCUAAUACCGCAUAGGCGCACAGCUUCGCAUGAAGCGGUGUGAGAAGAUUUAUCGGCAUACGAUGGACCCGCGUCUGAUUAGCUUGUUGGUGGGGUAGCGGCCUACCAAGGCGACGAUCAGUAGCCGACUUGAGAGAGUGAUCGGACACAUUGGGACUGAGACACGGCCCAA